CCCUAUGAUUUUAUUCAGACUAUAAUGAAUAAACAAAGGUCAACAUUACAUUUUAUUCUGAGUUUUGCAUAUACAAACAUACUUAAAGAUAAAUCUCUCUCCAUGUAAAUGUAAAAACAAAUAUCACAUAUAUGUAUGUCAUUUAGCAGUUAAAAUUUUACCACCAAAAAAAUUUCUAACUACUUAAAUUGAAAAUUAUGACAAUUAUGCCCUAUGGGUAUUCCACAACUAAUGGAGGAACAUACCGUAUAGCGGGUAUUUUCACGGGGUGUAAAUUUUUGCGGGUAGAACAAAAUUGCCAAAAUAAAUUCCACCAAUUGAAAAGUGCCCAUGCAAAGGUAUUGAUAAAAGUUUUGAAUCCGCCAAAAUAUUUCUUAAACCUUAUACCUUAUUCAAUGAAAAUAGCAAAUUUUACAACCCGCUAUACAGUACAAGAAACUAUACUGGUGCAUAAAAAAUCCUAAAUUUGGAAUAAAUACAAGCUCAAAUUGUAGGAAUAUCUUUAGACCAGUUUAGUGACACUCUGUAUCUACCCGACAUUAACAUGUAUCUGGUAUUUCAAUGAAAAUUGUAAGCUUCCGUGCUACUGCAUUAUAUUAAUCUGCAUCAGAACUUGUAAUUGGUGGUAAAAAUAACUACAAAAACGUAUUUAUCACAUGUAAAAAUGUUCAAUAUUCAAAACAACUAUAAUAGAAAUAGACUUUAUAAAAAAAGAAAUAAUGUAUAAUACUGUGUGCAUUGAUAAUACUGUGAGGUUCACACCUAAUACAUAUAUAUAACAGCAAUGAUGAACAGAUUUUGACCUUAUGCAUCUCGUUACAGGAAAAAAAGGGAGGUUACUCCGACAGAUUAGAAAUCUUGAAAAAUAAAGCAGUUUAUGCCUAUUAAGCAAAAUUUACCUUCUUUAUUUAUUAUGUUGAUAAAUUUCAAAAGGAAAAUGCACAAGGCCAAAAUUUUGGUCGACACAAUUCAUUUAUAACAAAAUAAACUAACAAUUAACAAAAUAUUUAAUACUGAAUGAAAAUAUAGUACUCUAAAAAAAACUUAUAAACUCUCUUCAAUACAUACUUUCUUAUUUAUAUAAAACAUCAAUAAAAAGAAACUAGAAGGGAUUAGCUUUUUUUUUUUUUUAUUUUUUUUUUAAUAAUACCUAUAGAAUUUUUAGAUAUUAAAUAAAAUAAUUCAAUUAAAUAGUAAUAAAUGCAAAAGGAAGUUAAUAGCGUACACAAAAAUCUUGCCAAGACAUUACAAUACUAAUUAUGCAAAGAGCUGAGUUGCAUUUGAAUAAUUUGCAAAAAGCGAAAGCACCAAUCAACAUCCCUAUAAAAACACUACAAUCAGCCUAUCUAAUAUUCCUUCUACAAAAAAGUAAAAAUAGCAAAUAAAAAGGCAAGAAAAAAUCAAAUAAUACUGAAAAACUGAGAAACGAGGGCAGUAAAAUUAAAUGGUAACAUCUAGAAUUUAAAAUUAAAAAUUCACACACAUUUUAACACUUUUGAUUUUUUACAUGGUUAAUUCUUUUCAUAACUGGUUAAAUUUUGUAGAAAUUUCAAUGCAUUAAUACAAUCUUUGAUAUGGAAUAAACUUAUACAGGACAUAUAUAUAUACUACUACAAUAAUUUUUUAUAUGUUGUACUUCAAAUUUAAUAUGAAUAAAACUAUUUGUUAUUUUGACAUGGGUUGAAAGUUGAACUUCUAAAUAAAGAAACAUUAUGUACAAACUUUUGAGCAAAUCUCAGGUUAACCGAUAGCACAUCAAAUCACUGCAAAUUAGCUAUUUGAAAAGAUUCUUGACUUUUGUACUUUACAUAAUAAACACAAUAAAUUCUUAAAAUUAUUGUACCACAAAAUUUCUUUUUUAUUUGGUUCAUAAAUAUAUGUUUGGUUGGCCUUAUUUUCUUGUGAAUUGUCGAAAUACAAAAAGAAGAUAAAAAGACAAGAAAAUUCAAAGAUGUAUAUAACUAUUUUCUUUAAAUAACAAUAUUUUAUAUACAAAUGCAAUAAAAUUAGGUUAGUCUAUUAU
rnacentral:lncRNA from 1 species